rnacentral:rRNA from 1 species
AUAAGCAUAUCAAUAAGCGGAGGAAAAGAAACCAACAGGGAUUGCCCUAGUAACGGCGAGUGAAGCGGCAACAGCUCAAAUUUGAAAUCUGGCUCUUUCAGGGUCCGAGUUGUAAUUUGCAGAGGGCGCUUUGGCGUUGGCAGCGGUCCAAGUUCUUUGGAACAGGACGUCACAGAGGGUGAGAAUCCCGUACGUGGUCGCUAGCCUUCGCCGUGUAAAGCCCCUUCGACGAGUCGAGUUGUUUGGGAAUGCAGCUCUAAAUGGGAGGUAAAUUUCUUCUAAAGCUAAAUACUGGCCAGAGACCGAUAGCGCACAAGUAGAGUGAUCGAAAGAUGAAAAGCACUUUGGAAAGAGAGUCAAAUAGCACGUGAAAUUGUUGAAAGGGAAGCGCUUGCAGCCAGACUUGCCUGUAGUUGCUUAUCUGGACUUUUGUCCGGUGCACUCUUCUGCGGGCAGGCCAGCAUCAGUUUGGGCGGUUGGAUAAAGGUCUCUGUCAUGUACCUCCUUUCGGGGAGGCCUUAUAGGGGAGACGACAUGCAACCAGCCUGGACUGAGGUCCGCGCAUCUGCUAGGAUGCUGGCGUAAUGGCUGUAAGCGGCCCGUCUUGAAACACGGACCAAGGAGUCUAACAUCUAUGCGAGUGUUUGGGUGUCAAGCCCAGACGCGUAAUGAAAGUGAACGGAGGUGGGAACCCUUUGGGUGCACCAUCGACCGAUCCUGAUGUCUUCGGAUGGAUUUGAGUAAGAGCAUGGCUGUUGGGACCCGAAAGAUGGUGAACUAUGCUUGAAUAGGGUGAAGCCAGAGGAAACUCUGGUGGAGGCUCGCAGCGGUUCUGACGUGCAAAUCGAUCGUCAAAUUUGGGCAUAGGGGCGAAAGACUAAUCGAACUAUCUAGUAGCUGGUUCCUGCCGAGCUCUCCUCCGUGGAGUAUUA